AUGGACUCGAUCAGUAGGCUAGCUUCUUGCACGUCUUCAGUUACAAACACAUUUGCCAACAUCGAGCUUGUCGGAUUCGACGCACUAGUGAGGGGUGGCUAUUUCCUCACAAGGAAUAUGGUACACUAUGCGAGCGCUUGUUUCUUUUUGAAAUUGUUUUUUUUUGUGGAAUUUGCUAAAGUACAGUACAAAAUCCACUGGUACUUCACCACUGGCAUGUUUACCGGGCUAGAUAAAUUUGCUGCUACAAGAAUGGUGACUGCUGGCGUUAUGUCGCACAAAGGUUUACAAGAGCUUACGAAACAGCGCAGCACUGUGCUCUAG
rnacentral:rRNA from 1 species